rnacentral:rRNA from 1 species
CUUGGGGCGGCUAUCAUGCAGUCGAGCGGACAGAUGGGAGCUUGCUCCCUGAUGUUACGGCGGACGGGUGAGUAACACGUGGGUAACCUGCCUGUAAGACUGGGAUAACUCCGGGAAACCGGGGCUAAUACCGGAUGGUUGUCUGAACCGCAUGGUUCAGACAUAAAACGUGGCUUCGGCUACCACUUACAGAUGGACCCGCGGCGCAUUAGCUAGUUGGUGAGGUAACGGCUCACCGAGGCGACGAUGCGUAGCCGACCUGAGAGGGUGAUCGGCCACACUGGGACUGAAACCCUGCCCAAACUCCUACUGGAGGCAACAGUACGGAAUCUUCCGCAAUGGACCAAAGUCUGACCGAGCAACACCACGUGAGUGAUGAAGGUUUUCUGAUCCUAAAGCUCUGAUGUUAGGGAAAAACAACUGCCGUUCAAAUAGGGCGGCACCUUGACGGUACCUAACCAGAAAGCCACGGCUAACUACGUGCCAUCAGCCGCGGUAAUACGUAAGUGGCAAGCGUUGUCCGGAAUUAUUGGGCGUAAAGGGCUCGCAGGCGGUUUCUUAAUUCUGAUGUGAAAGCCCCCGGCUCAACCGGGGAGGGUCAUUGCAAACUGGGGAACUUGACUGCAAAAUACGAGAGUGGAAUUCCACAUGUAGCGGUGAAAUGCGUAUAUAUGUGGAGGAACACCAGUGGCGAAGGCGA